GAUGGGAUGAAUGAAUGACAGUCUCUGUGACAGGGAAAGGGAUACAGUGACUCACACAGUCACAGAGUCACUCCUCAUCUCAACGUAUUAGCCAGAGCAAGUCACAUGGGCACAUCUGCCAUGGGAAAGGAGGGGGGCAAAAUCUAAUCAUGUAACCCCCAUCUUUUGUCCAGAAGGUGGGGAGCAUCAAAUUGCCCUGAAGGGCUAAAGUGGCCAAAGUGCUACCAGAGGGUGGCCGCAGGGAGCUGGGCCAUGAAGCGUGCUUUCACUCCUGCAGUAGGGACAAACACCACCCCACCUCACCCUCAACUCUCAGGGGGAGUCAGGUCAAGGUCGACAGAGCGGAAGUAAAGACUCAGGGGCAGGUGCUUCAGAAAAGACACCAAGGGCUUGUCGGGGUGUAGAAGGUGCCACAGAGGGCUUUAUUCACAGCAACCUGCUUCCCAAUUAGCAUGGCCUCUGGAGCGAGUCACCCUCAGCCCAUAAACUCAGAGCAUCAGCAUGGGGUGGAGUCUGGCUGAGUGUGGUCUGGGUGGAUACCAUCACCACCACCUCCCUCUGGGAGCCGAUGAGGGAGGCCAGGUCUCAGGCCCCACCCCGCUCCUGUAUCUCCACAAGCUCUGUGGGAGAGUCCCUGCCUGGGGAAGCUGGGGAAGCCAGUGAAGCACUUUGCUGGAGGGAAUUUAGGCCAAGUGUCUUCAUUUCAUGAAUGAGAAGCCUCCAAGUUGCAGAUGCCACCAUGACGCCAACCUGAAUUCCCUGGGCUGAUGACCUCACCAAUGUGUCCUAGAAGACCACCUCUUCAGCGCCCUGUCCCACUAGGGAAAGACAGAAAUAGGCUGGGGGUAUAGGUUGACCUGCCAAUGGAGAAGCAGUUACAGAAGCCCGACCUUCCACCUCUGUGCCCUAUAAUGUUCCUGGGUCCAUACUCUCAGAGGGAUAAAGAAUAGGAAAGCCUCCAAUGGAUGGGAUGGGAUAAGGAACUCUCAUGAUGGGAACUGUGUGAAAUUGUACCCCUCUUAUCCAACAAACUUGUCUAUCAUAAUUAAAUAAAUAAAA